GUUCUUUUGUUUAUAUAAAAGAUCUAGCCUGCCCAAUGAUUAGUUUUUAAUGGCUGCAGUAUUUUGACUGUACAAAGGUAGCAUAAUCAUUUGUCUUUUAAUUGGAGUCUGGUAUGAAUGGCUGGAUGAGAAAUUUACUUUCUUUAUUAUAUAUAUUGAAUUUGAUUUACCAAUAAAAAAGUUGGUAUUUAAUUAAAGGACGAGAAGACCCUAUAGAACUUUACUUUUGUUUUAUUAAGGGGUUAAUUAGUAAAUAUUUACUUUUUAUUAUGGACAGGAGUUUUAUUGGGGUGAUAAAAAAAAUUUAAUAACUUUUUUUAUAUUUUUCACUUCUUUGUGUUUUUUUGAUCCUUUAUUAUGGAUAAUAAGAUUAAGUUACCUUAGGGAUAACAGCGUUAUUAUUUUGGAGAGUUCAUAUCGAUAGAAUAGUUUGCGACCUCGAUGUUGGAUUAAAAUUAGAUUCAGGGGUAGAAUUUUGAUGUCUAGGUCUGUUCGACCUUUAAAUUUUUACA
rnacentral:rRNA from 1 species